UNUGAAGUUAAAGGCUGUGGCUUAACCAUAGUACGCUUUGGAAACUGUUUAACUUGAGUGCAGAAGGGGAGAGUGGAAUUCCAUGUGUAGCGGUGAAAUGCGUAGAUAUAUGGAGGAACACCGGUGGCGAAAGCGGCUCUCUGGUCUGUAACUGACGCUGAGGCUCGAAAGCGUGGGGAGCGAACAGGAUUAGAUACCCUGGUAGUCCACGCCGUAAACGAUGAGUGCUAGGUGUUAGGACCUUUCCGGGGCUUAGUGCCGCAGCUAACGCAUUAAGCACUCCGCCUGGGGAGUACGACCGCAAGGUUGAAACUCAAAGGAAUUGACGGGGGCCCGCACAAGCGGUGGAGCAUGUGGUUUAAUUCGAAGCAACGCGAAGAACCUUACCAGGUCUUGACAUCCCGAUGCCCGCUCUAGAGAUAGAGUUUUACUUCGGUACAUCGGUGACAGGUGGUGCAUGGUUGUCGUCAGCUCGUGUCGUGAGAUGUUGGGUUAAGUCCCGCAACGAGCGCAACCCUUAUUGUUAGUUGCCAUCAUUCAGUUGGGCACUCUAGCGAGACUGCCGGUAAUAAACCGGAGGAAGGUGGGGAUGACGUCAAAUCAUCAUGCCCCUUAUGACCUGGGCUACACACGUGCUACAAUGGCUGGUACAACGAGUCGCAAGUCGGUGACGGCAAGCUAAUCUCUUAAAGCCAGUCUCAGUUCGGAUUGUAGGCUGCAACUCGCCUACAUGAAGUCGGAAUCGCUAGUAAUCGCGGAUCAGCACGCCGCGGUGAAUACGUUCCCGGGCCUUGUACACACCGCCCGUCACACCACGAGAGUUUGUAACACCCGAAGUCGGUGAGGUAACCUUUUAGGAG
rnacentral:rRNA from 1 species